rnacentral:rRNA from 1 species
UACGUAGGGUGCGAGCGUUAAUCGGAAUUACUGGGCGUAAAGCGUGCGUAGGCGGUUCGCUGUGUCCGAUGUGAAAGCCCCGGGCUCAACCUGGGAACUGCAUUGGAAACUAACGGGCUCGAGUGUGGCAGAGGGGGGUGGAAGUUCCACGUGUAGCAGUGAAAUGCGUAGAGAUGUGGAGGAACACCGAUGGCGAAGGCAGCCCCCUGGGCUAACACUGACGCUCAGGCACGAAAGCGUGGGGAGCAAACAGG